rnacentral:rRNA from 1 species
AUUGAACGCUGGCGGCAUGCCUUACACAUGCAAGUCGAACGGUAACAGGUUAAGCUGACGAGUGGCGAACGGGUGAGUAAUGUAUCGGAACGUGCCCAGUCGUGGGGGAUAACUACUCGAAAGAGUGGCUAAUACCGCAUACGACCUGAGGGUGAAAGCGGGGGACCGUAAGGCCUCGCGCGAUUGGAGCGGCCGAUAUCAGAUUAGCUAGUUGGUGGGGUAAAAGCCCACCAAGGCGACGAUCUGUAGCUGGUCUGAGAGGACGACCAGCCACACUGGGACUGAGACACGGCCCAGACUCCUACAGGAGGCAGCAGUGGGGAAUUUUGGACAAUGGACGCAAGUCUGAUCCAGCCAUGCCGCGUGCGGGAAGAAGGCCUUCGGGUUGUAAACCGCUUUUGUCAGGGAAGAAACGAGUUUCUCUAAUACAGAGACUUAAUGACGGUACCUGAAGAAUAAGCACCGGCUAACUACGUGCCAGCAGCCGCAGUAAUAC